rnacentral:rRNA from 1 species
UUGGAGGGCAAGUCUGGUGCCAGCAGCCGCGGUAAUUCCAGCUCCAAUAGCGUAUAUUAAAGUUGUUGCAGUUAAAAAGCUCGUAGUUGAAUUUCGGGAUCAAAUAAUCGGUCGUGCCUCCGGUACGUACUGGUUUUAUUGGUUCCUCCCUUCUGACGAACCAUGAUGUCAUUAAUUUGAUGUGGUGGAGAAUCAGGACUGUUACCUUGAAAAAAUUAGAGUGUUUAAAGCAGGCUAACGCUUGAAUACAUUAGCAUGGAAUAAUGAAAUAGGACGUUCGACCCUAUUUUGUUGGUUUCUAGGAUCGACGUAAUGAUUAAUAGGGAUAGUUGGGGGCAUUAGUAUUCAAUUGUCAGAGGUGAAAUUCUUGGAUCUAUUGAAGACUAACUACUGCGAAAGCAUUUGCCAAGGAUGUUUUCAUUAAUCAAGAACGAAAGUUAGGGGAUCGAAGACGAUCAGAUACCGUCGUAGUCUUAACCAUAAACUAUGCCGACUAGGGAUCGGAUGAUGUUAAUUUUUUAAUGACUCAUUCGGCGCCUUACGGGAAAC